AUUGAACGCUGGCGGAAUGCUUUACACAUGCAAGUCGAACGGCAGCACGGACUUCGGUCUGGUGGCGAGUGGCGAACGGGUGAGUAAUACAUCGGAACGUGCCCAGUCGUGGGGGAUAACGUAGCGAAAGCUACGCUAAUACCGCAUACGAUCUAAGGAUGAAAGCGGGGGAUCGCAAGACCUCGCGCGAUUGGAGCGGCCGAUGGCAGAUUAGGUAGUUGGUAGGGUAAAGGCCUACCAAGCCGACGAUCUGUAGCUGGUCUGAGAGGACGACCAGCCACGCUGGGACUGAGACACGGCCCAGACUCCUACGGGAGGCAGCAGUGGGAAAUUUUGGACAAUGGACGCAAGUCUGAUCCAGCCAUUCCGCAUGCAGGAUGAAGGCCCUCGGGUUGUAAACUGCUUUUGUACAGAACGAAAAGGCUCUGGUUAAUACCUGGAGCUCAUGACGGUACUGUAAGAAUAAGCACCGGCUAACUACGUGCCAGCCGCCGCGGUAA
rnacentral:rRNA from 1 species